AUGGCGCCGCAGCUGCCUAUCAUACCCCCUGCCGCCUUGGACGGCGACGGCCUCCCUUCCUGGAAACCCAACCCAUUCUCCGCCGACCCUACCUUCGACAUGGGCUUCCUCAAGGCAGCCUUCGACGGCGACCUCCGCCUCGUCAAGAAGGCGGCGAAGGUGCUGGGAAGGGGGGCGGAAGGCCGUCGCCUCGCCGAGAAGCUGGGGGCAGUGAGGGACGGCAUAGGCAUAGGCUUACUGCACAUGGCGGCCCUAGGAGGGAGCCUGCCCGUGUGCCGCUACCUGGUCGAGGACAUCCGGCUGGAUGUCGAUGAUGUAGGCCCGAUGGGCGAAACACCUUUGACCUGUGCGAUUAGCCGUCAGAAUGCGUAUUUGGUGUGUUACCUUCUCGACCAUGGUGCUGAUACAGAGAAGCUCAACAGCGAGGGGUAUACGCCUCUCCAUUUUGCCACCAAUCAAGGAUACGUUGACAUAGUAGAGCUCUUACUCUCAAAAGGAGCUAACACUGAUGGACUAAGUCAUGGUGGGACAGCACUGCAUGUUGCUGCUAAUAAUGGGCAUGAUGAUAUUGUGAAGGUUUUGUUGGAUCACCAUGCAGAUCAUAAGAUAGCUUUGAGUGGUACUGAUUCUACAGCUCUUGUUAUUGCUACUGCCACGUGCUCACUAAAAUGUGUGAAGCUCCUGCUUGAGGCUGGUGCUGAUGUGGAUGGUAUUGGUAAAGAUACACCCUUAAUAAUUGCUGCCCUUGCUGGCUCGACUGACAUCCUUAAGUGCUUAGUUCUGGCUGGUGCAGAUGCUAAUGUUACUGACAGUUAUGGGCACACUCCUAUAGAAAUUGCUGCACGUUCUGGUAUGCGUGAACAUGUCGAAAUUCUAUUUCCCGUCACUUCUCGUAUUCCUAAAGUACGUGACUGGAGUGUUGAUGGAAUCAUUGGUAAUGUAAAAUCAGUGCCCUCAUCAAAGAAAACUAUGCUUGCUAGUGCAAAAUCUAAAGCACAUGAGGCAUUCAAGAAUGGGAAUUAUCUUAUUGCAGCAAGAAUUUAUGGAGAGGCAAUGGAGCUCGACCCUUUUAAUGCGACCUUGCGCUCAAAUAGUAGCCUAUGCUGGAUUCGCUUCGGUAAUGGGACGCAGGCCCUGAAGGAUGCUCAAGCUUGCAGGAUGAUGCGACCUGGCUGGGCCAAGGGCUGCCACCGUGAAGGAACUGCUCUGAUGCUACUGAAGGACUAUGAAAAGGCAUGUGGUGCAUUUCUUGAUGGUCUUAAGUUGGAGCCUGGGAACGCCGAGAUGGAAGACGGUUUACGGUAUCCUCUUUCUUCCUGUUGGGCUACAUUUUAUACUUACUGUGAUAACCAUGGAUGGUGA
rnacentral:rRNA from 1 species